rnacentral:rRNA from 1 species
AGCAGCCGCGGUAAUUCCAGCUCCAAUAGCGUAUAUUAAAGUUGUUGCAGUUAAAAAGCUCGUAGUUGAAUUUCGGGAUCAGUACGCUGGUCGUGCCUUUGGUAUGUACUGGUGUCACUGAUUCCUCCCUUCUGAAGAACCGUUAUGCCAUUUAUUUGGUGUGGCGGGGAAUCAGGACUGUUACUUUGAAAAAAUUAGAGUGUUUAAAGCAGGCUCGCGCUUGAAUACAUUAGCAUGGAAUAAUGAAAUAGGACGUUUGAUCUUAUUUUGUUGGUUUCUAGGAUCGACGUAAUGAUUAAUAGGGAUAGUUGGGGGCAUUAGUAUUCAAUUGUCAGAGGUGAAAUUCUUGGAUUUAUUGAAGACUAGCUACUGCGAAAGCAUUUGCCAAGGAUGUUUUCAUUAAUCAAGAACGAAAGUUAGGGGAUCGAAGACGAUCAGAUACCGUCGUAGUCUUAACCAUAAACUAUGCCGACU